rnacentral:rRNA from 1 species
AUGAACGCUAGCGACAGGCCUAACACAUGCAAGUCGAGGGGCAGCACAAGGAGCAAUCUGAGGUGGCGACCGGCGCACGGGUGAGUAACACGUAUGCAACCUGCCUGUAAGCGGGGAAUAACCCGUUGAAAGACGGACUAAUACCGCAUAAUACUAAAUUACUGCAUGGUAAUUUAUUUAAGCAUUUAUGGCUUACAGAUGGGCAUGCGCAUGAUUAGCUAGUUGGAGAGGUAACGGCUCCCCAAGGCAACGAUCAUUAGGGGUUCUGAGAGGAAGGUCCCCCACACUGGUACUGAGACACGGACCAGACUCCUACGGGAGGCGGCAGUGAGGAAUAUUGGUCAAUGGACGAGAGUCUGAACCAGCCAAGUCGCGUGCAGGAAGAAUGUCCCUAUGGAUUGUAAACUGCUUUUGCAGGGGAAUAAAGUGCAUCACGUGUGAUGUUUUGUAUGUACUCUGCGAAUAAGGAUCGGCUAACUCCGUGCCAGCAGCGGC